CAAAGGUUUGGUCCUGACUUUUCUAUCGACUAUAGCUAAACUUACACAUGCAAGUAUCCGCACCCCCGUGAGAAUGCCCAAACAGUGCCCCGCCCGGGAACAAGGAGCUGGUAUCAGGCACAAAUACAUUUAGCCCACGACACCUCGCUCAGCCACACCCUCAAGGGAUUUCAGCAGUGAUAAACAUUAAGCCAUAAGUGAAAACUUGACUUAGUUAAAGCUAAGAGGGCCGGUAAACCUCGUGCCAGCCACCGCGGUUAUACGAGGGGCCCAAGCUGAUAGACCACGGCGUAAAGAGUGGUUAAGAAAAGAAACAAACUAAAGCCGAACGCUUCCAAGGCUGUUAUACGCUUUCGAAAGUAAGAAGCUCAACUACGAAAGUGGCUUUAAAUUAUCUGACCCCACGAAAGCUAGGGCACAAACUGGGAUUAGAUACCCCACUAUGCCUAGCCGUAAACAUUGACAGCACAAUACAUAGGCUGUCCGCCUGGAGAUUACGAGCAGUAGCUUAAAACUCAAAGGACUUGGCGGUGCUUAACAUCCAUCUAGAGGAGCCUGUUCUAGAACCGAUAAUCCCCGUUCAACCUCACCCUCUCUUGUUCCUUCCCGCCUAUAUACCGCCGUCGUCAGCUUACCUUGUGAAAGACUAAUAGUAAGCAAAAUUGGCUCAGCCCAAAACGCCAGGUCGAGGUGUAGCGUAUGAGAGGGGAAGAAAUGGGCUACAUUCACUAAAAUAGUGAAUACGGAUAAUGUACUGAAAUAAUACAUUUGAAGGAGGAUUUAGCAGUAAGCAGAAAACAGAGUGUUCUGCUGAAGAUGGCACUAAAGCGCGCACAUACCGCCCGUCACUCUCUCCGAGCACUAAAAAUACAAAUAACUAAUGCCCUACAACUGCAAAGGAGAGGCAAGUCGUAACAUGGUAAGUGUACCGGAAGGUGCACUUGGAAAAAU
rnacentral:ncRNA from 1 species